rnacentral:lncRNA from 1 species
CACUGCCAUAUCCAUUGCCGAGUCCCUUAUUGAGUUUAGGAAAGUGGAGAAACCUAAACCCAAGGACAAGGGCGGCAAGGGAAAGAGCGGGGGAGACCCGCCUAAGGGCAAGGAGGCGUCAGAAAGGGCCAAGGGACAUAGAGAUUUCCCUCCCAAACCGAAGACCCCGGUCCAAUGCUUCUUUUGUAAUGGACCGCACUAUGCGAGGGAUUACCCCAAAAAGAGUAAGCUUUCGGCCAUAAUCGAGGAUCACGAGAAGGAGGAAGCAAAGACUGGCGCCAUGCGGCUUCUAAGCUCAAUACAGGCAAAAGUUGAGGUGCCC